GUUCGAUUCUUUUUUUCAUAUUAUUAUGGCACCCUCAACGGAGUUGGGGUGACAUAUUGUUAUUGUUCGUUUCUUUUUUUUCUUUUUUUUUAUUAUUAUUUUUCUUCCACUAUUUUUGUCCGGAGAAGUUCUUGGAGUAGAAUGAACCAAAGUUGAUGGAACUAUGGUAUAAUGUUGACCAACAUGUGAAGUUGUCCCUCUGACUUUGGAAUGGUCAAGAUGGCUGCCGUUUCCAUGGAAACGGGUAAAAUGUGAAAAUUUUCAAAAUUUUCAAAAUGCUCCAAUCUUUUUAAAACUUUACAAAAAUGGUAAAUGGCAUGUGCUAAUGUGCUCUUUGAAUUUGGAAUUUCAAAAAUGGCUGUCGUUGUCCUGGCAAUUGGGGAAGGGUGCCAUCCGUUAUUGCUGGCAAUUACAAAUCUAGUUAUGGCACCCUCAACGGAGUUGGGGUGACAUAUUGUUAUUCUACGUUUCUUUUUUUCUUUUUUUUAUUAUUAUUUUUCUUCCACUAUUUUUGUCCGGAGCAGUUCUUGGAAAAGAAUGGACCAAAUUUGAUGGAACUAUGGUAUAAUGUUGACCACCAUGUGAAGUUGUCCCUCUGACUUUGGAAUGGUCAAGAUGGCUGCCGUUGCCAUGGAAACGGGUAAAAUGUGAAAAAUUUCAAAAUUUUCAAAAUGCUCCAAUCUUUCUAAAACUUUACAAAAAUGGUAAAUGGCAUGUGCUGAUGUGCUCUUUGACUUUGGAAUUUCAAAAAUGGCUGCUGUUGUCCUGGCAAUUGGGGAAGGGUGCCAUCCGUUAUUGCUGGCAAUUACAAAUCUAGUCAUUAUUAUAUUUAUUCUUCCACACUUUUUUGUCCAUACUAUUUCUCCGAAUUGGCUUGAACAAUAUUGAUGGAACUAUACCAUAAUGUUGACCACCACAUUAAAUAGUGCAGUGAGGUAUGGCAUCAUCAAGAUGGCUGCCGUUGUCAUGGAAACGAAACAAAUGUUAAAAAUUUCUGUUUUUUGUUUUGGUGAACUGUUUGAAUAUGCUUAAACUCAGAAUCAUCAUAUUUUAAUACAAUGUAGGUGCCCACUAUAUACAGGUGUUGGAUGAUUUUGGCACUCAUCGGACCUACUAUGUUGCCAUGGAAACUAAACCAAAAAUUUCAAAAAUAUCAAAAUGCUCCAAACUUCAUGAAACUUUACAGUAACGAUGAGCAACAUUGGAAGAUGUUGAAUUUGGCGUUGGAAUUUCCAAAAUAUCUGUAGUUACCAUGGAAACAAUGCAAAAAGGUCAAAACUUUGAAUUUUUACAGAACAUUCCAGAACAUCAAUGUUAAAUGUAUUCUAGAGACAUUAAAUGGUAUAUAUGAUUAUGGAGGGAAAAAAUUGCAGCGGGGGUUUGACUUUGGAAUAUUCAAAAUGGCCGCCGUUAC
rnacentral:lncRNA from 1 species